AUUGAACGCUGGCGGCAGGCCUAACACAUGCAAGUCGAGCGGAUGAAGGGAGCUUGCUCCUGGAUUCAGCGGCGGACGGGUGAGUAAUGCCUAGGAAUCUGCCUGGUAGUGGGGGAUAACGUCCGGAAACGGGCGCUAAUACCGCAUACGUCCUGAGGGAGAAAGUGGGGGAUCUUCGGACCUCACGCUAUCAGAUGAGCCUAGGUCGGAUUAGCUAGUUGGUGGGGUAAAGGCCUACCAAGGCGACGAUCCGUAACUGGUCUGAGAGGAUGAUCAGUCACAUGGGAACUUAGACACGGUCCAGACUCCUACGCGAGGCAGCAGUGGGGAAUAUUGGACAAGGGGCGAAAGCCUGAUCCAGCCAUGCCGCGUGGGUGAAGAAGGUCUUCGGAUUGUAAAGCACUUUAAGUUGGGAGGAAGGGCAGUAAGUUAAUACCUUGCGGUUUUGACGUUACCAACAGAAUAAGCACCGGCUAACUUCGUG
rnacentral:rRNA from 1 species